GUCUACGGCCAUACCACCCUGAACAAGCCCGAUCCCGUCUGAUCUCGGAAGCUAACCAGGGUCGGGCCUGGUUAGUACUUGGAUGGGAGACCACCUAGGAAGACCAGGUGCUGUAGGUG
rnacentral:rRNA from 1 species